rnacentral:rRNA from 1 species
GGAGGGUGGGAAGGGGAGGUGUCGUUCGGUGGAGAUGGUAGGGCCACUCAGCGUGUCGGGGUUGGGAGAGGGUGGGAGUAGAGCCACGAGGUGUAGAGGAGUAGUACGAUGGGUUGUCCGAGGGAGGGAGAAGACGGCGUGUUUAUAGCCGCUCUAGGUCCCUCUGCCCCUGCAGCUAUAGCCGUAGUUGGAGCGGUUCGAACUAGGCCCCUAUGGCCCCGGGGCCCGACGGCAUCACAACCUACAACACCGGCAGAGAAGGGUGACCGCCCUCUGCGCCCCGGACAGCGCCCGAAUGGGCCCUCCCAGCUGUCACACGUGCUGGACAUGACGAAGGACGACCGGAGAGUGCCGGAGGAGGACCAGGUGUCGAUGAGGCGCUGAGGUUGAACCUCCGUAACUCUUUUCCGGACAGAAAAACACGAGCUUGAAGAACGAAGAAGGGAAACUAACAACCACCUGCACACUAAAACAACAACAAGCCCGACCUAUCCAGUUCGACGUUUUCAUCAACAUCGGUCUAAUGAUGAUUAAAAAUAUCUAAUGAAUGGUCCUGCAACUUGCUUAAGUUAAGAAAGAUCAAACACACGAUAACAUAUAAAAUUGAAAACACAAGGAUUGAUGCCGGGAGACUUACAUUACAACAACAAGACUUAAAAUGGGACCGGACGGGGAUUAGUCACAAAAAAACCAAACCAAAGGACACAUUACGUAAAACCUAUGCCACUACGUCCACUGAUCGGCAUCUACACCGGACCACAGGGUUCGAAGACGUACCUCGAGCGGUACGAAGUGGUUCUUAGUACUGCUACGACGGAACACGAGCGGUACGCGUCUUGAUCCCAGCACUCCUCCUUCUGUUCCGAUGUGUGCUCCUUUAAGCUCUGCCUCCGCCGUGGUUUGUAUUGAACUCGGACUAAAAAGAACGAUCGAAUCGCAAAACGAAAGUAUCCAAACCUCGAGAUUUAAAUUCGAAAACGAGACUUAGAAGUUAACUAGGUGUCCAAAGACUAGCAAGACUUGUUUACGAACUUGAGAAACAACAAACUACACUAAAACCCUCAAGUAAUCUGAAACCUUUCAACAAACGAAAGGGAAUUAGCAAAAGAAUUAGAGGAGGGAAGAAAUCACCUAGAGGUACGUUCACAAUCACCCAUUACGUACCAAUUUAAUAUAAAACCACAACCAACAACUCUCGUACUCUACUCUG